AAAUUCUAAUAUUACUUUCCAGUAGCAUUACUUUGUUACGACUUAUCUUAUAUAUAAGAGUGACGGGCGAUAUGUACGUAUUUUUUUACUUUUUAUUCAAUUAAAAAUUUUUUUUUAAUUUAUUUUUAAAUUCUUUAUUAUAUGUGUAUUAUACAUAUUGAUAUAUUAUAAUAAUAUAUUAAUAUUAGUUAUUGAAAGUAAUUCAUUUAAUCUUAACUAUAAACUAAACUUUGACUUGAAUUUUAAAAUUAGAUAAUUGGGUUUGAUUUAAACUAAUUUAUUUAAUCUGCACAGAAGUAUAUAAGUGUAAGUUAAGUAUAUGAAAUUGUGGAGUAUCAAUUUAUAUAAAUAAAUUCCUCUAAAGAGAAAAAAUACCGCCAAAUUUUUUAAUUUUUAAUGAUUUAUCAUUUAUUGGUUAAUUAAAAUAUUGGAUAAUAUAGUAGGGUAUCUAAUCCUAGUUUUUUUUUUAUUUUAUAAUAAUAUUAUGUAGAUUAUUUUAUAAAUUAUUAAUAAAUUAAACUUAAUAAUAAUUUGUUUAUUUAAUAAAUAAUAUAUAAAAAAAUAAUUCGUCAUGAA
rnacentral:rRNA from 1 species